rnacentral:rRNA from 1 species
UACGAAGGGGGCUAGCGUUGCUCGGAAUGACUGGGCGUAAAGGGCGCGUAGGCGGUUUGUACAGUCAGGUGUGAAAUUCCCGGGCUCAACCUGGGGGCUGCACUUGAUACGUAUGGACUGGAGUGGGGAAGAGGGUCGUGGAAUUCCCAGUGUAGAGGUGAAAUUCGUAGAUAUUGGGAGGAACACCAGUGGCGAAGGCGGCUCACUGGACCGGAACUGACGCUGAGGCGCGAAAGCGUGGGGAGCAAACAGG